rnacentral:rRNA from 1 species
UACGUAGGUGGCAAGCGUUGUCCGGAUUUAUUGGGUUUAAAGGGUGCGUAGGCGGUCUUUUAAGUCAGUGCUGAAAUAUCCCGGCUUAACCGGGAGGGUGGCAUUGAUACUGAAGGACUUGAGUUCAGUCGAGGUAGGCGGAAUUGACGGUGUAGCGGUGAAAUGCUUAGAUAUCGGCAAGAACACCGAUAGUGUAGACAGCUUACUAGGCUGAAACUGACGCUGAGGCACGAAAGUGUGGGGAUCAAACAGG